UACGGGGGGGGUAAGCGUUGUUCGGAAUUACUGGGCGUAAAGGGCUCGUAGGCGGCCAACUAAGUCGGACGUGAAAUCCCUCAGCUUAACUGGGGAACUGCGUCCGAUACUGGAUGGCUUGGAUUUGGGAGAGGGAUGCGGAAUUCCAGGUGUAGCGGUGAAAUGCGUAGAUAUCUGGAGGAACACCGGUGGCGAAGGCGGCCAGCUGGGCCGUCCCUGGACGCUGAGGCGCGAAGGCGUGGGGAGCGAACGGG
rnacentral:rRNA from 1 species